GAUAAACGCUAGCGGCAGGCUUAACACAUGCAAGUCGAGGGGCAGCAUAGAUUGUAGCAAUACAAUUGGUGGCGACCGGCGCACGGGUGCGUAACGCGUAUGCAACCUACCCGUCACAGGGGGAUAAUCCGGAGAAAUCUGGUCUAAUACCCCAUAACAUAUGGAUCGGCAUCGGUUCAUGUUGAAAUUUUCGGCGGUGACGGAUGGGACUGCGUAGCAUUGGCUUGUUGGUGUGGUAACGGCUCACCAAGGCGACGAUGCUUAGGGGGACUGAGAGGUUUUCCCCCCACACUGGUACUGAGACACGGACCAGACUCCUACGGGAGGCAGCAGUGAGGAAUAUUGGUCAAUGGGCGCAAGCCUGAACCAGCCAUGCCGCGUGCAGGAUGACGGCUCUAUGAGUUGUAAACUGCUUUUGUACGAGGGUAAAGUGGGUUACGUGUAACCUUUUGGAAGUAUCGUACGAAUAAGGAUCGGCUAACUCCGUGCCAGCCGCCGCCGUAA
rnacentral:rRNA from 1 species